ACAUCCCUAGACUCCGCAUGGAGAUGCUCAUAAAAAAUAUAUAAAAUGAAAAAGGGCAAAGAUGUUCUGUCGGAGGCUGCAAAAAUGUGCUCUUGAAAAAGAAGCAAAGCAAAGCCAAGCAAAAACCCUUUCAUUCAUAGCUUCCGUAGCGGCUGCCUUUCAGUGUCUGAGCCUUCACACGCAAUUCCAAAAUCCCAACUAAGAAUGGCUCAAUCUCUGGAAUUGUUGCUUAUUCAAUUCUUGAUGCCUGACAACGAUGCUCGGAGGCAGGCUGAGGAGCAGAUUAAGAGGUUGGCUAAGGAUCCCCAGGUGGUUCCCGCCCUAGUCCAGCACCUCCGCACCGCUAAGACCCCCAACGUACGCCAACUCGCCGCUGUUCUCCUCCGUAAGAAGAUCACCGGCCACUGGGCCAAGCUCCCCCCUCAACUCAAGCAGCUUGUCAAGAACUCCUUAAUUGAGAGCAUCACUAUGGAGCACAGUCCGCCAGUAAGACGAGCAAGUGCAAACGUAGUGAGUAUCAUUGCAAAAUAUGCUGUUCCAGCAGGAGAGUGGCCUGAUUUACUGCCUUUUUUGUUCCAAUGUAGUCAAAGUGCACAAGAAGACCAUAGAGAAGUGGCGUUGAUCCUUUUUAGCUCUUUAACUGAAACAAUCGGGAGUGCAUUUCAACCUCAUUUCACGGAUUUGCAAGCUCUUUUACUUAAGUGCCUGCAAGAUGAGACUAGCAAUCGUGUUAGAGUCGCUGCUCUCAAGGCUGUAGGUUCUUUUCUAGAAUUUACAAAUGAUGGAGCUGAAGUGGUAAAGUUUCGGCAGUUCAUUCCAAGCAUUUUGAAUGUAGCAAGACAAUGCCUCGCCUCCGGUGAGGAAGAUGUUGCUGUAAUUGCUUUUGAAAUUUUCGAUGAGCUUAUAGAAUCUCCAGCUCCUCUUCUUGGAGAUUCAGUAAAAUCCAUUGUGCAGUUCUCUCUUGAAGUUUGCUCAAGUCAAAAUUUGGAAUCCAAUACACGUCAUCAGGCUAUUCAAAUAAUUUCAUGGCUGGCCAAGUACAAAUAUACUUCCCUGAAAAAGUAUAAGUUGGUCAUUCCCAUUCUGCAAGUGAUGUGCCCCUUGCUUACUGAAUCAAACAAUGCUGAUGAAGAUGAUGAUCUUGCUCCAGAUCGAGCUGCUGCAGAAGUUAUUGACACAAUGGCUUUGAACCUCUCAAAACAUGUCUUUCCCCCUGUUCUUGAGUUUGCUUCGAUUAAUAGUCAGAAUACAAAUCCCAAGAAUCGGGAAGCUUCUGUUACAGCUCUAGGUGUUAUUUCAGAGGGUUGUUUGGACUUGAUGAAAGAUAAGAUGGAACCUGUCCUUCAUAUUGUGUUAGGAGCAUUGAGGGAUCCAGAACAAAUGGUUAGAGGGGCUGCCUCAUUUGCUUUGGGCCAAUUUGCUGAGCAUUUACAGCCUGAAAUUGUAUCUCAUUAUGAAAGUGUUCUUCCCUGCAUUUUAAAUGCCCUUGAGGAUGUAUCUGAUGAAGUAAAGGAGAAGUCAUACUAUGCUUUAGCUGCAUAUUGUGAGAACAUGGGUGAAGAAAUUCUUCCUUUCCUUGACCCUUUGAUGGUGAAGCUACUUGGAGCCCUUCAAAAUAGCCCCCGUAAUCUGCAGGAAACAUGCAUGUCUUCAAUUGGUUCAGUUGCCUCAGCUGCAGAGCAAGCUUUCAUUCCAUAUGCUGAAAGGGUUCUGGAGUUGAUGAAAUCUUUCAUGGUACUCACAAAUGACGAAGAUCUUCGAUCACGAGCAAGGGCCACUGAGCUUGUUGGAAUAGUUGCAAUGUCUGUUGGAAGAACAAGGAUGGAACCAAUUUUACCCCCUUUUAUGGAAGCUGCAAUUUCUGGUUUCAGCUUGGAGUUCAGUGAGCUUCGGGAGUAUACUCAUGGAUUCUUUAGCAAUGUAGCUGAAAUUUUGGAUGAGAGCUUUACACAGUAUCUUCCUCACGUUGUACCCCUGGCAUUCUUAUCCUGCAAUCUUGAUGAUGGCUCUGCAGUGGAUAUUGAUGAAUCUGAUGAUGAAAAUAUUAGUGGCUUUGGUGGAGUGUCAUCUGAUGAUGAAGCUCAUGAUGAGCCGAGAGUUCGAAAUAUCAGUAUAAGAACAGGAGUAUUGGAUGAAAAGGCAGCUGCAACUCAAGCACUUGGCUUGUUUGCGCUGCACACAAAGACUGCUUACACACCCUAUUUUGAGGAGUCAUUAAAGAUUUUGGUAAGACAUUCAGGUUAUUUUCAUGAAGAUGUUCGGCUUCAGGCAAUCAUUGCUUUAAAAUAUAUUUUGACAGCAGCGUAUGCAAUCUUCCAAAGUCAUAAUGAGGGAGCAGCAAAGGCACGAGAAGUUCUUGAUAAUGUGAUGCGAAUUUAUAUCAAGACUAUGACUGAAGAUGAUGACAAGGAAGUUGUUGCUCAAGCUUGCAUGAGUAUAGCAGACAUUUUUAAGGAUUAUGGUUUCAUGGUUCUUGAACCUUAUAUGUCUCAGCUUAUUGAUGCAACUUUGAUAUUGCUUAGAGAGGAAUCAGCUUGUCAGCAAUCAGAUAAUGAUAGUGACAUUGAUGAUGCUGAUACUGAACAUGAUGAAGUGCUUAUGGAUGCAGUUUCUGACCUUCUUCCUGCAUUUGCAAAAUCUAUGGGUGCACAUUUUGCACCAAUCUUUGUCAAUCUAUUUGAACCUUUGAUGAAAUUUGCGAAAUCUUCACGCCCUCCACAAGAUCGAACUAUGGUUGUUGCUUGCCUUGCUGAAGUUGCUCAGGAUAUGGGUGCUCCAAUAGCAGGCUAUGUUGAUAGGAUAAUGCCCUUAGUGCUAAAAGAACUAGCAUCAUCAGAGGCCACCAAUAGAAGGAAUGCUGCAUUUUGUGUUGGUGAGUUGUGCAAAAAUGGAGGCGAAUCAACUUUGAAAUACUAUGGUGAUAUUUUACGUGCGCUUUACCCAUUAUUUGGGGAAUCUGAACCAGAUGAUGCUGUCAGUGAUAAUGCAGCUGGUGCAGUGGCAAGGAUGAUAAUGGUCCAUCCCCAGUCCAUCCCAUUGAAUCAGGUGCUUCCUGCUUUCUUGAAAGUUCUUCCAUUAAAAGAAGAUCGUGAAGAGUCCAUGGCUGUAUACAGUUGUGUGUCUACUCUUGUUUUGUCAUCUAAUCCACAGAUCCUUGCACUUGUCCCCGAAUUGGUUAAUCUUUUUGCUCAAGUUGUGGUUUCUCCAGUUGAAACUCCAGAAGUUAAGGCUCAAGUAGGAAGAGCAUUUUCUCAUCUGAUUUCACUAUAUGGCCAUCAAAUGCAGCCUCUAUUGAGCAACCUUUCACCAGCACAUGCAAAUGCUCUAGCUGCAUUUGCCCCUAAAACUUGAUGCAUGAUUGAUUAUAUCAGCUGGCCUUCUUCCCCUAUUUUUCUUUUUGUUUUCAUUAUGAAGCUUGUUUCUCAAGGAAUUAUUUUGUGGCUUAUGCUUUAGUGAGCACACUAAGAGCAGGCGGGUCAUUACCUCAUCACCAGGUUGGAUUGCGAUUGCUUUCUCCAUUUCUCCCGUAAAUCACUACUUUUUCCUCUUCUCUGUAUCUUAUGUUAUUCAAAUUUUCAGUAUUGUUGUUUCUCUAUUUCAUUUAUUAUAGCUCCAGUGUUCAAUUUCUUGGUUUUUCGAGGUUUGAGUUAUAUCAGGGUUUUGAGUGUUCUAAAGGGUAUAAAUUCAUGAGUUAUCCUCAAUUUUAAAGCAGGAGUAUAGAUUUUUAUAAUUUAAUUUAAUGUAGGGCAGUAAGAGUUUUGUGUAUAAAGCACAAGUAACAUAAACAAUUAAAGUUUUGUUUGCUCAAA